GAAGCUGACCAGACAGUCGCCGCUUCGUCGUCGUCCUCCUUCGGGGGGAGACGGGCGGAGGGGAGGAAAGUCCGGGCUCCAUAGGGCAAGGUGCCAGGUAACGCCUGGGGGGUGUCACAGCCCACGACCAGUGCAACAGAGAGCAAACCGCCGAUGGCCCGCGCAAGCGGGAUCAGGUAAGGGUGAAAGGGUGCGGUAAGAGCGCACCGCGCGGCUGGUAACAGUCCGCGGCACGGUAAACUCCACCCGGAGCAAGGCCAAAUAGGGUUCAUAAGGUACGGCCCGUACUGAACCCGGGUAGGCUGCUUGAGCCAGUGAGCGAUUGCUGGCCUAGAUGAAUGACUGUCCACGACAGAACCCGGCUUAUCGGUCAGUUUCACCU
rnacentral:RNase_P_RNA from 1 species